rnacentral:rRNA from 1 species
UACGGAGGGUGCAAGCGUUAAUCGGAAUUACUGGGCGUAAAGCGUGCGCAGGCGGUUUGUUAAGUCUGUUGUGAAAUCCCCGGGCUCAACCUGGGAAUGGCGAUGAAGACUGCAAGGCUAGAGUUUGGCAGAGGGGGGUAGAAUUCCACGUGUAGCAGUGAAAUGCGUAGAGAUGUGGAGGAACACCGAUGGCGAAGGCAGCCCCCCUGGGUCAAAAACUGACGCUCAUGCACGAAAGCGUGGGGAGCAAACAGG